UUCCCUGUUUUACAUCUUUUGUUUUCUCUCUACUCUCUCAACAUUCUCUCUCGUCGGUCGACCCUUCCAAGGCCAAAAAGGGAAGCCGACUACCAUAAAUCGGUGGCCACCCAACUCCGAUCAACCUCCAGGCGCCUCCUCCUUCCAACUAGCCCUAAAUCGACAACCAAAAAUAAAAAAAAGAACCAACAUCCCCUCCUAAAAACAUCUCGACCGAACCAAUAAAAAAAACCAACACCGUCGUACAUUAGCAGUAUUUUACCCGUCGGCCACCACUGACGUUAAACCAACCCCAAAAAAAAAAGCUUUCACCUUUAACCUUAAACCUAAACCCAAAAUACCCCUAAACCGAUCAUAGACCACAAAAGACCGAAAAGUCCCAACCUUUGGACUUUCCAGCUACCCUAACCACCUAAAGGCAGAGCCUUUCUCCCUCCGGCGACCCCGACCAAGAUCUGCUUGCAAUGGUUCAUCCCACGAUCAGGGCUCGUCGAGGCAUCCGCCCAACAACCGUACGGGGGCGAUUUUUCGCUGAUGCUGUCGGGAUAUGGGUGAUGCACGCGCGUGGGCUGAUCCGAGGACGCGACGACUCUGGUCAUUAGGGAUGGAAACCCUAGCAGCUUGUUUGGGCACAUGGGCCUGAAUUUGGGCUUGCUGAUCAGGCUUGCUUUGAGUUGUAUUGGAACUGCACAUGUAACUAGAUAUUAAGGCUUUUAUUUAUGUUUCAUAUUUAUAUCCA